UACUUGGUAGCCAGUGAAAAUGGAGGGAUCAGACGCUGGGAUUUAUGGGAAUCAUCCGUACGCCCCGGGGGAUCUAAUGCUACCGGGAUUCGUACCUGGCUUUCUCUCACAGUCCACCAUGUCGGCGUCUACGGCGUCUCCUCCCUACUCGUCGUUUCCCUCACCUGGCUCUUCUCCGGUACCCCUCCUUCCACUCCACUUCUGAUCAGAUCGUAAUUUUAUUCAGCUCAAUUCUCUAAACAUUGUAAUUUGCUCAAGUAAUUUGAUGCGUGAAUUGGGUUUGUAGACACAGGCAGAGCGCAGAAAGUUUAGACUUUUGAGAUCCAAAAAGUUCAUAUUUUUAUUCAACUUUUUGGUAUGAUUGCAAAUUCAUAGGCUUGAUUUUUUAAUAUGUUGAUUACAUAUUAUACUUUAAACUAAUCUAAAGUGCGGAGAGUGGGGAUUCGAACUCGGGUGCAAAGAGUAGCACAUCCGCUCUAGCCGAUGUUACAUGGCUAUGCCCACUUAUGCUGUGAUUACUGAGCACAUCCGUUCUAGCCAACGUAGUUACACCCGUCUGUGGUGAUUAUUGAUUGUUAAAACUUGGGAAUUCUUUCAUAAGAAUAUCCCAAUAUAAUUUAUAGUCGCAUUUUAGAUUCAUGGUUUUGAUGUUUUCUAUGUAUUGGCAAUGAAAAUCGAAUGCCAUUUAGCUUUAGAUGUUCUAGUUUAUGUUCAAAUCGAUAAAUUUGACAUUUUGAGGGAGACAUUUGAAUGUCCUAAUCGACAUGUUUUACUUUUUGCUAUGUAUGUACCAGGGAGGUCACCGAGGAAAUCAAAACUUGAUAGAUGGCUAAUGUGCUGGUGGGCUUUCACCGGCCUUACACACUUGAUACUCGAAGGCUAUUUUGCGUUUGCGCCUGUGUUCUACAAGGAUAAGACUGCUUGGUACCCGGCUGAAGUUUGUAAGUUCUGUCCCACAUUUUUGUUUAAUCUCAGAUUUUGAGCUUUGAUUAUCGCAAGGUUUAUAUGCUGCACAAUGUAAAAUUUGAUUUUCAAAUUCCAAUCUCAAACUAGAUGAAUUUGAGUAUAAAAUAGUAGCCUCUAUUAAUGUACGGGAAGAGUGAUGAUUGAUAAAUUGAUUUCAAACUUAGACCAGUAAUCGGAUAAGAGAGUAUGUAUAGAGAGUUGAACCAAAAGUAAAUUUGACCACUCAUGUAUCGUUCUAGAAGAGAGAUUUUAUGUGUUUAGAAAAUGAGUCGAUGCAUUAUCUAUUAUUAUAUAAGUGAAAAGAAAACUAGUGCAUGGGUGAAGAAACACUUGAAAAGGAAAAUUUUUUUUUCCACGUAUUUGGAAAUAUUUUUAUAAGAAACACUUAUGCUUAUAAUUCUAAAUAGGACUGCAAAAGAAUGUAUUGGAUUUUUAUAAUUCUGAAUUUUCAAUCCGAUUUUUUCAAAGUGUUCCAAACUCAUUUCAUUUUUUAUUCGAAAUAUUUUGAUUUUUUUUUUUUUUUUGUUAUUACUCAAAUUAUGUAUUUUGUAAUUAACUUUGAGACCCCUAUUUUAUUUUCAGUUUGGGAUACCAUUUGUUUAUUAUUUUUAUAUUAAACAUAGACUAAUACAUUAAAAUGUAUAGGCACACUAAUAUACCAAAUAUUUAAUUGAAUUUAGAGGUAAGCCUAUACCAAAAUGUAUAGAAAGAACAAUAAAAAAUUCGACCAUAUUCAAAACCUAUAAAUUAUAUGAAUUUUCAAUAUGUAUUGAAAUUUCUAAGAUUACUCGAUUCCAAAAAUUUCAAUUUGAUAAUUGUGAUCUGAUCUGAUUCUAGAAUUUUGAAACGAAGAUUGAAAACGUAAUUUCCCGUCUUAUUCGUGUGAAAAUCACUCCUAUAUUCAUCACACUAAUUAAAUUUAAAUAGAUAUUUCAUAUUUGAACAAGUAAUACUACACUUACCACAUUUUCUAUAUCGCAUUUGUACCAUCUCUCGGAUAGAGGUAAGGCCCACCAUCUUUAUCAGAGAUGUGGUACAAAUAUGAUAUGGAAAUGUGGUAAGAGUAGCAUUUUUUAAGGAAAAAUUCUUGGACUUGCACUACUCAUGUGCCUAACUAAUAAUGUCCUAUUGCCAUAUAAAACAUGCACGCGUUAUCCAUUCAUAUCAUACCACUCGAAUUCGUUAUAAUACCUUACUACAUAAAUACUAGUAUCGUAAAAUGAUUUUUCCCUCUCUUAUCAUGUUGUCACGACCAAAACAGAAAAAGAAAAGGGAACCAAGAAUAAGUUGUUAUCGACUUUAUACCCUAGUUGUAUGUUUUUUUCAAAAUUCCUUCUCAGGUUUGGAUUCUAAUUCGAAGCAUUUGGCUUUGUAUUGUACAAUGAAUAAUCAGACUAUGAAGUUUAGUAGAAGAUUUAACUGUUCAGGUUCUCAACCUUCCUCCAAGGGUGACUCUUGCUGAAUUGAAUACCUUCUUCUCUUACUGUGGAACUGUUCAACAAAUCCAGCUCCUGAGGCAAACAACCUCCAAAUUAUUAACUGCUUGAUCAUUCUGUUCUUAUUUAACUUUUGUUGAUUAAUUUAAUAUUAAUAAUUUCAUAAUUUGCAGGGAUAAAGACCAAUUACCGUAUGCUUUAGUGACUUUUGUGCAGCCUUAUGCUUUUCAAACUGCUCUUCUCCUUGAUGUAAGCAGCCAAAAAAAUCUGUUUAUAUUUCAAAUCUUAGUAUUUUAAGUGCUUUGUUUUAUUUUGUUUUAAUCAAUUUAUUAGUGUGGCUGAAAGGAAGGGAGUGAUCACUUUGCAGGAUGCUACCUUUGGAGGCCAACAAAUUGGCAUAUUACCUGCAUAUGAUAUAAGAAUUCCUAUAGUUUCAGAUGAAGACGUUAAAGAUGAUCACACCCAGGUUAAGUCAUCUAAUAUUAAUCUCAACUAGCCUUUCUAAACACGCUAACGCUAGUGUGAAAAGGCUUUUGAUAACACACAUAUUUUACAAUGAAUGAUCUGUUACGCUAACAAUAUAUGUCAUUGCCAGACCAAAAACCAAUUAGGUUUCAUCCCGACUGCCAAUAUGUUGAGGAAAAGCCCAACUGCCAAUAUGUUGAAGAAAAGCAAGGAAGAGAUGGAGGAGAAGUUGAAGCUGUCGGAGAAAGCGGGGAGAGUGCUGAUGAACCAAACAAGAUCGGCAAUUUAUGCGGUUGAGCAGGCAGCAGGACGCAUGGGAACUGCACUUAUGAACAAUAACUAUGUUGCAACUGGUGCUAGAGGCUUUUCUGAUGCACUUGAUAAAGCCUCAAGGUCUGCCUCAGAGUUGGGAAUUAGGAAGAGAGAGAAGUAAAUUCAAUAUAACCCUAAUUCCACAAACCCAUGGACAUAUGAGUCUCUUAAAGUUGUGUGUACUUCUCCCUAUUAACACUUAAUAGUCAGUUUAUGAAUAACAUAACCAUCGUGUAUAUGUAAUUAUAAGAUUGAAGCAUCAACAUUAUCAACAUUAUUACUAACAUCAUAUAUCCGCAUUUUAAGAAAAAUGCAGCUAAUAGUAUUGUAGGAUAUUUUCAAACGUGUAAUCAUUUGUUUGGGAGAACAUUUAGAUGUUCUAUAUUACAUUAUGUAACAAGUAUCUAGGUCUUAAUAUGUAAUGAGCUUGUGUGUGAAUGUGUGCGAAGACCCUGCAAGUCUACAAUAAGAUAUGUUUUGGACAGAAAUUGGAAUGGUUGGUUAUAUUUAUGAGGGUAGUUUUGAUAUAGACGUCUUUUUUUUUUUAAUUUCUUGGAUUAAACAUCUGCUUCUUUUAAUAAUUUAAUUAAACAUUCUUCCUACAAUUAAGGUGCCACUUAUUUUAUAAGUAACAUCCUUUUAAUGCCAUAUUACAAGAUUUGCCAUUAUGAUGUUCCUUUAAUUAAUUAAUAAUUAUCAUGUUAAUAUCCCAAAUCUCCUAAAAUGUAGUAGAUUAGUUUUAAAAAUCUUAACACAUCAAACCUGAUCUAAUUAUUUUUCUAACGUGCAUUUUAUUCCUAACUCCAUACCAUACAAGUAACUAACGUUCUAUCUUCUUCUACAACCAUUAGCAAUUUUUUUUUCAUGUCACUGCUUUCCUCGAUUGGCCAAUCAAACCCUCUUUCGUUCUCCCUUGUUGGUCAUAUCCAUUUCCUUCGUAUUUCAUUUUCUGUACACCUCUUAAUCUGAGUAUCUAUAUCAAAGGGUAUGCUUUUUGUUUUUGCAAACUUUUUACCCAUCUUUCCAUCUUUUUCACGUAACAUGAUACAUUUUGGGAAAUAGAAUUUAGUGGUACAUUUUCUUUUAAAUGAUAAUUUGGUACGUUUCAAACCGAUAUAUUGGUACGUUUUAAGUUAGAAUGGGUACGUUUCAAUUUAGUAUCUGUACGUUUCAAGUUGUUAUUGAAUGUUUCUAGGUGAAAUGGGUACGUUUUAAUUUAGCAUUGGUACUUUUCAAGUUGUUAUUGGUACGUUUCAAAUUGACCUGAAUACGUUUCAAAUUGAUUUCAAUUUAAAAUUCACAUUUAUAUAUGAGUACGUUUCAAUUUAGCAUCGGUACGUUUCAAGUUGUUAUUGAACGUGUUUCAAGGUGAAAUGGGUACGUUUUAAUUUAGCAUCGGUACGUUUCAAGUUGUUAUUGAACGUUUCACGGUGAAAUGGGUACGUUUCAAUUUAGCAUCGGUACGUUUCAAGUUGUUAUUGGUAUGUUUCAAAUUGACCUGAAUAUGUUUCAAAUUGAUUUCAAUUUAAAAUUCACAUUUAUAUAUCUCAUGCCGCCGAAUAGCACUAAUCUCAGUUCAACGACUCCAAACUCAUCCUUUUUAUGAACAACUUUUAUAUUUCAAUAAUAAUUUUAUGAUGUGAAUGAGCCAACAAAAGGGGUGUAAACUCUGAGGCCAAAAAAAAAAUUCAAAAUUCAAAGUUUAUAGAUAAUAUUGAUGAUUUAGUUAAUAGCCAUUAAUAAUAUCCCUAAAAAAAAGGUAUAAAUCCUGACAAGCCAAAAAAAUUCCCCUUAUCAACUAAAAGGAUAAAGUGGGAAAUCAACAUAUAGCAUUUUUAUUUAAAAAUAAAUAAACUAAUGACAUGUAAAUAAAAUAAAUUUAAAAAUAAUUAGGUGGACACUAGUUAAAGCGUCUUAAUCAAAAUUUUAAAAGAAACAAAUGUUUAAGAAAAAUUAUGUAAAAAAAGAAUGAGAGAUUCUAAUUUUCUCUAUUUAUAAAUUGUUUUUUCUUCUGUAUUAUUUUUUUCAAUAUUCAUAUUAACAACAGUGUAUCAAAUAAAUGUAAUCCGAUCGUGGAUAAAAUGACCGAAGGCCCAAGAAUAAUUCCAUGUGGAUUUGGCCCGAAGCAAAUAAUAUCAAGUUUGUGAAAAUUUUAGUAAACUAAACCAUAUCGGGCCUCCCAGGGCAAGAUUGUCAUCGACGAGACAGUGUAAUUGGUAGCCAGCGAAAAUGGAGGGAUGAGACGGCUGGAAUUUAUGGGAAUCAUCCGUACGCCCCGAGGGAUCUAAAGCUACCGGGAUUCGUACCUGGCUUUCUCUCACAGUCCACCAUUGUCGGCGUCUACGGCGUCUCCUCCCUACUCGUCGUUUCCCUCACCUGGCUCUUCUCCGGUACUCCUCUUUCCACUCCACUUCUUAUCAGAUCCUAAUUUUAUUCAGCUCAAUUCUCUAAACAUUGUAAUUUGCUCAAGUAAUUUGAUGCGUGAAUUGGGUUUGUAGACACAGGCAGAGCACAGAAAGUUUAGACUUUUGAGAUCCAAAAAGUUCAUAUUUUUAUUCAACUUUUUGGUGUGAUUGCAAAUUCAUCGGCUUGAUUUUUUAAUGUGUUGAUUACAUGUUAUGCUUUAAACUAAUCUAAAGUGCGGAGAUUUGGGAUUCGAACUCGGGUGCAAAGAGUAGCACAUCCGCUCUAGCCGAUGUUACAUGGCUUCGCCCACUUAUGCUGUGAUUACUGAUUACAUCGCUCUAGCCAACGUAGCUACACCCGUCUGUGGUGAUUACUGAUUGUUAAAACUUGGGAAUUCUUUCAUAAGGAAUAUCCCAAUAUAAUUUAUAGUCGCGUUUUGGAUUCAUGGUUUUGAUGUUUUCUAUGUAUUGGCAAUGGAAAUCGAAUGCUAUGUAGCUUUAGCUGUUCUAGUUUUUGUUCAAAUCGAUAAAUUUGACAUUUUGAGGGAGACGUUUGAAUGUCCUAAUCGACAUGUUUUACUUUUUGCUAUGCACCGAGGAAAUCAAAACUUGAUAGAUGGCUAAUGCGCUGGUGGGCUUUCACCGGCCUUACAGACUUGAUACUCGAGGGCUAUUUUGCGAUUGCGCCUGAGUUCUACAAGGAUAAGACUGCUUGGUACCCGGCUGAAGUUUGUAAGUUCUGUCUCACAUUUUUGUUUAAUCUAUAAGAUUAGCACUGGAUACGAUUUGUGCAGUUUUUCAUCUGUUAGGGCUUGUUCGAUUAUGUAGUUCUUAUGCUG
rnacentral:lncRNA from 1 species